rnacentral:rRNA from 1 species
AGCGAACGCUGGCGGCAGGCUUAACACAUGCAAGUCGAGCGGGCCCUUCGGGGUCAGCGGCGGACGGGUGAGUAACGCGUGGGAACGUGCCUUCUGGUCUGGAAUAACCCUGGGAAACUAGGGCUAAUACCGGAUACGCCCUUUUGGGGAAAGGUUUACUGCCGGAAGAUCGGCCCGCGUCUGAUUAGCUAGUUGGUGGGGUAACGGCCUACCAGGGCGACGAUCAGUAGCUGGUUUGAGAGGAAGGUCAGCCACACUGGGACUGAGACACGGCCCAAACCCCUCCGGGAGGGAGGAGGGGGGAAAAUUGGACCAGGGGCGGAAGCCUGAUCCGGCCGUGCCGGGGGAGUGAUGAAGGCUUGUGGGUUGAAAGGCUCUUUUAACCGGGAGGUUAAGGCGGGAACGGGAGAAAAAAGCCCCGGCUACUUCGGG